ACAAUUCGAUGUCACCCCCUCCCUGACUAGCAUGUGGGCUCCCCAGGUUGGAGCCCCUUUCCCUCUCCCCUGCAUGUCCAUCGCAGGCUUCAAUGUGUCUGGCAGGCAGAUGAGAAAGCUGAAAUACUGCAAGUUGAAAUGACUCGUCCUAGAUCCCAGGUCUAGUGAAGAGUGAGCACCAGAAAUCACAUGUACUAGACUACCAGCAGUCAGAUAUAAUCAGCCCCCAAAUCUCCUGUGGUUCACUAUAUAUAAAAGAAAAAAAAAAAACAAGGAAUAUCCAACCAAAACAAGGUAAAUACACAGGAGGGUUCACUGGGCAAGAACAGAUGCAAACCAGAGAGAUUUUGAAGAGCCUGGGGUCUCUAGACAAUUCGGCACUGCUGUGGAUUUCAUGUUUGUAUCCCCUCUAAAUACAUAUGUUGAAGCCCGAGCCCCCAGUGUGAUGGUAUUUGGAGAUGGGGCCUUCGGGAGGUGAUAAGGUCAUUAAAGUGGAGCCCUCAUGAAUGACAUUAGUGCCUUACAAGAAGAAGCAGGAGACAGCUUGCUUCCUCU
rnacentral:lncRNA from 1 species